CACAGAAGGCGUCUUCCCAGCAGCGCCUUCAUCAGCCACCGCCGUCGCGUCUUCUUCAGCUACACCUUCCGCACCGCGGCUGAAAAUGCGCCGCUGCCCCAGAUCGUCGUCGUGGGCUCCGCCGACAUCUACGUCGAGGUCCACCGAUCCCCGCUCAUCGGCGAGACGGCCGCGCGGGCGGCAAGGGCGCCAACCUGGCCGCCUGCGGUGCGCCCUACCUACCUCGUGGCGCGCGUCGGGGAUGACGCCAAUGGCCGACUACUCGAGGACGCCCUAGCCGACGCCGGCGGCGUUGCACCGACCGCGUCGCGCGCGCGGCCGAUGCGCCAUCGGGACACGCCAUAGUCAUGCUCAUGCCCCACGACCACAACUCCGUCAUCAUCGUGGGCGGGGCGAACAUGGAGAGCUGGGCGGCGGGGAUUGGCUCGGAGGACCUGGAUUGAUCCGAAAGGAAAAUGCAGAGGGAGAUACCCGAUUGAGUCAAUCCGCAGGCUGCCCAGGCGCUUGCUUUUUAUCAAUCUCAGCUUGGUUUGGGCACACAUUUUUCUUUUUUUUUAUGUUACUGUUUGAUUAUUUUGAUCUCAAUUAGACUGAAUAGGGCAAUGUAGCUUUGAGCGCCAUGCCACAGUUUUUAGGUGUUUCCUGCCACAACUAUGAUGCACCACACUUCCCUAGCAUCAUGUCUUACACGUAGAAGACUCAUUUUCAUGCUAAACUUCGAUUUUGCUGACCAUACAUUCUGUGGCAACCGCAGCUUGCCAAAGGUUAGGCAUGUCAAACUACGGCAACAACCAAACAUGAGAGAUAUAUGUUUGAGAAUGAAGCAACAAUUUACUGAAUGUUUUGAAUAUUUGAUGUUUGAGUAUUUACUUUUUGAAAUUUUGGGAGAUAUGUUGGCUGGCUAGGUUCUUCUAGCACACUGGUGCUGUUUAGUCAGUUGAAGCAAUAAAUUUGGUAAUAACAUCUAAAUUCGUAGGGCAACAACAGCAAGAGAAAGUUUCUCUUUUAUAUCUUAGAACCGUAUUUAGUACAGGACUUUGUAUGAACUAUACUUUCGAUUAUUUGCAUUGCUUGAGGUUUUAAAAGUUAAUGCUUUGUGGUUAGUUUGGUGCUGUUUGUUUGAGAAAGGAGCGAGGAUCCACUGAAGAUUUUAUUGCUUAGCGUAGUGACCUCUCAGCUUUUGAUUUAUUUUUCAGAAAUUUGGAGAGAUAGUACAGUGUGUGUGUGUGUUGGGGGGGGGGGGGGAGGGGUUAGUAAAAGAUUAUUAGUCAAUGUAUAAGGAAAUUUGCUACUGACAUCUAGCUAGGUACUGUUUUUUCCCAAAGGAUGCUGUUUUGGCAGCAUUGAUGCGACUCCAUUCUCCUUAUAGUACUUUAUGCAGCCAAAUAUGUUGCUGAGUCUCUCUUUGGUUGAGGAUUUAGUAACUUUAAUGGUAAUCUUCUAUGGUACUCUAUUCAUCCAGAAAAGAGAAGUCAAAAAAUUUGAGGUUUGACUAAAUCUAUACCAAAAAUACUAAUAUUUAUGAUAUAAAAUAAGUAUGAAUUAAUUAUAAAAUAUAUUUCAUAGUAAACCUAGUUACAGACAUAAAUGUUAACACUAUUUACUAUAAACUUGGUCAAAGCCAAGCUUGUUUGACUUGCACAAAUUUCAUAGUUGCAUCCUUUUUGGAACAGAGGAAGUACUUUCUAUCACGUGGUAUAGGAUCACUGUAGGGGGUUAUUAUAUUCAAGCUGUAUUUGGGCCAACCUGUGGGAUCAUUUGGUAAUUUCUAGGUUCAGUAUUGUUACCUUGGUCUUUGAUUAGUUACUUUGCUACUAUUACUGUCUUCAAAUGUAUGGUGUCAUGGCCUCAUGGGUGGCCUCAAUCCUCUUUAUUCACCUUGACAACCACCAGAGCAAACCUCUGUAGUUACUAGUUACCUUGCCAAACUCAGCUAGCCAAGUAGACCUCUGCUUCCUGUCUGAAACUAAAACUCAGUUCCAUCUAGCUCAACUAUGUGUAGACAUUGGCAUGCACAAGCCAGUUGUUCCUUGCAAAUCGUGGUUCUUGGGAACAAAAGAGUUGAUUAAUUCAACAUUUGCAUCCACAUGACAAUUGGAAGAAAACAAUGCCUGUCACCCUAACAACUCGCCUCCAUUAAAUGAACUCUAAUUUGAAACUUUCAGCCUCCAACAGUCUCUGUUCGUAGAUGAAAUGAAUAUCUAUGUUUUUUUUUCUAGUGUUUAAGGGGCUUCCCAUGACUAGAUGGUGGGAUCUUCUAAAAUCUCAAUUGUUGAAGUGCUCAAUGGACCAAUUAUAUGUUUUGUCUGACCAACAAGAAUAGAAAUCCAAUGGUGCAGAAGGGUAUCUUCAAGUUCUAUUUCUUCCAUAUCUAUUGCAUGCUUCCAUGCAUAUGUGCAAUGGAUCCAAUGUCAUUACACUGCACAUGUACUUCAGUCAUAUUUUGGCGAUUUUAGGAAGAUUAGUAUCAUGAGACUCCAUUUGAACCAAUCAUCUGUUGUAUGAAGGUUCAAUCCUGCAUUGACUCUCUCUGUAACUUAAUACAGUGUAUUGGUGCUAGUGGGUACCCAGUGGUUAUGAGUCUAUUUUUUGGUUCAUUCUAUACCACUUUUUUUGAUAAAUGGAUUGGUUUCCAUUAAAUGAGUUUUGAGUCAACCCACAAACCUAGAGAAAACUCUUGUAUUCCUAAUCAACAGAAUAAAUAAAGUAUUUAUCACUUUCCUACAAUGCUCCUAUUGUACAUUUAUAAGAUUAUUAUGUGUCUAACAUAAAAAGCUCAAGCACUUUGCGAACUUGGAAAAUUACAUACCUUCAUCUCUUAUGUAUUUUGAGUGUGUAGGAACCCAUUAUUAGACCAACUCCAGCAGCCUCCGCUCCGCAUCCCUAAAGUAAGGUCCUUCCUCAGUAUGAACAGUGUCGUACAUCCGUCUCCGUUUCUAGCAGUGUUGCACAUCCGCAUCCAUAUCUGGGCAACAGUUGCCUUUUAGCGUGCAUCCGUCUCCUCUAGCAGCCUCCUCAUCCCGCUCCCCAUCCCCAUUUUGCACGCUAUAAAAGGUAUUCAUCACUCCAACGGCCUCUCCAUCCCGUUCCCCAUCCCCAUUUUACUUUGCGUGGAGGAGAGAGAACCCGGAGAAAAAGGGAGUGAAAUUGGUUGCCUCUAUUUUGCAGGGCCGGAUGGGGAGGCUGCUGGAGUGAUGAACAGUGCCUCAAAGCGCGCAAAAUGGGGAUGGUACGCUGUUCGGCUGCGGUAAAAGGCAGCUGUUACUGCUGCCGUGCUGCGGCUUCCCGCUCAACCACAAAAGUACUGUUGCAGCAGCUGCAGCAACAAUUUUCUUUUGUCAUAGCCGAACAGCGUGGAUGCUCCUGAAACAGAGCUAGCGCAUUUGACUGGGAUGCCUACUGAGACAUUUGAACAGAUCAGCCAGGCCGCAGGAGAAUGCCAUAAAAUGGGUGUGAAAGAAGUACUAGUUAAACUUGGAUCGCAAGGAUCUGCUGCUUUGUUUGUUGAGGGAUAGGAGCCAAUCAGACAGCCGAUAAUUCCUGCCACAGAAGGUAUUGAUACCACGGGGGCUGGUGACACUUUCACCUCAGCUUUUGCCGUAACGUUGGUUGAGGGGAGGCCUAAGGAUUGCAUGGGAUUUGCAGUUGCUGGUACAAAAUCGCGUCCUCUUUAUUUGAUUGAUUGGUUUCCUCACAUUUUGAUUUGAUGGCUUCUACUUUCUUGAAUUCCAGCUGCUGCUGCCUCUAUCAUGCUGUUUGGUUAGCUUGUUUCGCGGCUUGACCUGAUUACACCAUAAAUUUCUUCUGUUGUUUAAUGUUUGUUUGCUGCACACUGUGUGACUGUGUGAUCGGUUGGCAUGGAAACGGUUAAUAAUCUUCGGCAUACGGAUCACCCCUGUAGUGUAAUGUUAGGAAAUCAGUACUACUGCUCUUUAAAUGCAUACUCUUUUUAAGAAAUGGAAACCCUUAGGCUUAUAGCGUUUCCUGUUGACUCAUAGCUGCCUGUACUAUUUCCACGCAAUUCCCGCGACCUCGUAUUAGCUAUGUGCAUCCAAACAGCCCAACUAAAAUGCAACUAAUAAUUAGUUAUGUCCCAUAUAUUUAUUAGUUCCCUAGCCACCCCACACCCGCUUAAGAGCAGCUCCAACAGUCUGUGUAAACAUACCGUGCUCGGUAAAAAUAAGAAAAUCUUAGUCAAAACUUCUUCCAACAUCCUCUCCUUCCUCGCUACUUCAUCUUCCUCACUAUCGUGCCCCUUUUGCUAGACAUCUUUGCCGAGUGGCCACAACUCGUCAUCGCCUCGCCCUAUGGCUUUCCCUCGCUCUCUCCGGCCUUGCCGGCUGCCGCUCUCGCACGAACUCUCGCCAUCCCACUCCCUCACGCUUUCCCGCUCCCGCACGAUCUCCAAGAUUAAUUUUUAUUGGCUGAUGUCUUUGUUUCCAGAAAUUCUUCGUUGGUUUCUCUGUUGCUUGCCACUUUUUAUGGCUGAACCAACAGGUUCCUCUAGAAAACUGAAGAAGCUGACAAUGGGUUUCUGCUUGUAUGGCGGCUGGUCUACGUUUCUUUCUUGCUGUCUGACAGCUGAAAACUAACAAAUAGCUAGUCUGUUGGUUACCUCCAGCGAAAGAAAAUUUUAUAUUUUAAAAACUCUACUGCAAAAUAAUAUAUUUACCUAGGAUUUUAGGAUUUUAUAUAAGUUGUUGGAGUUGGGCCCUUUCUCCCCAACUGACCCGCGACCGCGAGAGCCCAGGCGCCACGCACGCCGAUGCUUAGCCGGUAGCGCACGCCGAUGCUGAGCCGGUAGGACGGGGCGGCGUCUUCCGCCGGCAGCUCGUCUCCGCUAGUCCACUCCAUCGCCAUUGUUGGUCCCCACCGCUGCAGCCCAUACGACGCCGUCGUGCCGGCCCUACGACUGCUGGUGCCCUACGACGCCACCAUCCCCUACUCCGCCGCCGCCCCCUACGCCCGUCCAUAGGUGCCAACAGAUCGUCUCAUUACAGAGCCAUGUUCUUCGAUGAGGCUGAGUACCACACAACCCCUACGAGGUCACCCUCCAAUCGCAUGAACAGGGGUCUCUUCUCAGAUGAAGUGGCGUUAAGUGUUCAUAGGGAGCAGUUUAUCCCUUCUCCGUGAUCUGGUAGAGUGGAUGGGUUGGACCUCAACUCCAGUGGCGUGGAGUUCCAGAAAAUUGCAUUUCAUGAACUUCGUCAGUCCCAGUCAGCUGCCAACUACUCCGCUACUCCGGUUCGUGAUGGUCAUAGGGGUUGCAGUCAUUCUCGAUCAAUUGGUAUUGGUCGUGGUGUUACGGGCAGAGGAUCCCGAGUUCCACGGACGACUAGUGAGGGUCCUAGAGGUGGUCGUGGAGCAUGAAGCAUCUUCUCUCGUGGACGUGGUAUGCCUCGACCUAUUGGUGCUUCCUUCUCUGGUGGCCGUGGUGCCACCAGUGGUCGUGGUGCCAAUAUUUCAGCGCCAAAUGCCGCUCACAGUCAAGAGGACAAUGACGACGAUCGCUUUGCACAGGUAACUCAUUUUUCUGACUUGGUCACUCCAAUAUGGAAGAGCAAACUGCGUCAUAGAUGCAGGCACUACUGUAAUUUUUAGCCCAAAGUUUUGAACUGUUUUGUUUGAAAUAUGUACAUAAUCUGUAAUGUUUGUGAACUGUUUGAAUGGAGAGGAGAGCUGGAGAGGGCACGGAGAAAUGGACCGAGACAUGGACCGUUUUUCUUCAGCACGGCAGCCCCCAGCCAGUUUUUCAUUUGUGAAUCCUGUCGUUGGUUGUUUCUUCUUUUGUACGCUACACUUAAAUUAUCCUAGAGAGUGCUUUAACAUGUUUAGAAUGAGUAAGCAUA